GGAAUACACAUUUCAAAAGGCAAUAGCGCCACAGCUAUGCCCGACACCCAGGCGUAUGAGUGACAUGGCUUACUUACAUAUAUAAGCCGUCAUCGACUC